CAGCUAAUAGUUUAUUUAAAAUUUAAUCUUUGGGAGAUUAUGAUGUAUAUUACUUACUUUGCUGA
rnacentral:tRNA from 1 species